AUUGAACGCUGGCGGCAGGCCUAACACAUGCAAGUCGAACGAGGGGCGGACGGGUGAGUCAUGUCUGGGAAACCGCCUGACGGAGGGGGAUCACUACUGGCAACGGUAUCUAAACCCGCCUACCCUCGGCUGUGCCCAGAUGGGUUUAGCUAGUAGGUGGGGUAAAGGCUCACCUAGGCGACGAUCCCUAGCUGGUCUGAGUGGAUGCCCAGCCACACUGGAACUGAGGCACGGUCCAGACUCCUACGGGAGGCAGCAGUGGGGAAUAUUGCACAAUGGGCUCGAGCCUGAUGCAGCCAUGCCGCGUGUAUGAAGAGGGCCUUCGGGUUGUAAAGUACUUUCAGCGGGGAGGCGUUACCCGCAGAAGAAGCACCGGCUAACUCCGUGCCAGCAGCCGCGGUAAUGC
rnacentral:rRNA from 1 species